GUAGGUGAACCUGCGGAAGGAUCAUUAUUGAAAUAAACCUGAUGGGUUGCUGCUGGCUCUCUAGGGAGCAUGUGCACACUUGUCAUCUUUAUAUCUCCACCUGUGCACCUUUUGUAGAUCUGGAUAUCUUUCUGAAUGCCUGGCAUUCGGGUUUGAGGAUUGACUUUUGUCUUUCCUUACAUUUCCAGGCCUAUGUUUUCUUCAUAUACACCAUUUAUGUUAUAGAAUGUAAUGAAAAGGGCCUUUGUGCCUACAAACCAUAUACAACUUUCAGCAACGGAUCUCUUGGCUCUC
rnacentral:misc_RNA from 1 species